rnacentral:lncRNA from 1 species
AUGUUACGGGGGAAAAGAUGUAUAAACAAACUGGGUGUUUUUAUGAAUGCUUGCCAGUUUAUUAAGCAGAUUCUGGUGUCUGACAAUUCUUAUGGUAGCAAUGAACGUGACAUAUUGAGUCGUUUUUCUUUCAAAGGCAGGAGCUCUUCUUACGAAAAUCAACAUAUAAAUUUUGUAAACAAACUAUCCACGGGGAGCAGAAAGGCAUUAAAUGGGCAAUUUGCAUUUCAAAACACAGGAUCAUUAUGGCUUCCAGUGAAUAGCUUGGGUUUUGGAAUGGACUGUGUGUGUUCCACAAAAAGCAGAUAUGUGAUUUACGACAGCCCAAGGAACAAAGCAAGGUACAGAGCACUUCAUUAUAUGCACGCCUGGAAACCCUUAAAUGGAUGA